CAUCGGUGGAGCGUGGAUUGAAAGCUUUCGCACGGUCACGGGUGUGCUGGAGCCCAUCCCGGCUAACUUCAGGCCAGAGGCCGGCUACACCCAGGAUCUCCUCCAGGCUGUCCAGGAAGUGGACGAAGGCGAGCAGACCCUUGACGUGCUUCCUGAGAGGAUCCGAGGGCGCUGGCGCGUAGCCCUUGCCGCCCAGCUGGAUGGCUCUCACGAACGACGUUACCACCUGAAAAUGUCGCAGUGGGAAAAUUCAACUGGCACAUCUGAGUCAGUAUCUCCCCAUCCCACAUAAAACAAAAGUGAAACACCCUUCCUAACGUCUUCGGCCAAAUUUUGCCACCUUACCAAAAAGAGGGACAUGCCACAUCGCCGCGCCGCGUGUUUAAUGUCCGUGAACGUCUGUGGUCCG